rnacentral:rRNA from 1 species
UACGAGUGCCCCAAGCGUUAUCCGGAAUUAUUGGGCGUAAAGAGCUCGUAGGCGGUUUGUCGCGUCUGCCGUGAAAGUCCGGGGCUCAACUCCGGAUCUGCGGUGGGUACGGGCAGACUAGAGUGAUGUAGGGGAGACUGGAAUUCCUGGUGUAGCGGUGAAAUGCGCAGAUAUCAGGAAGAACACCCGUGGCGAAGGCGGUUCUCUGGGACGGUACUGACGCUGAGACGCGAAAGCGUGGGGAGCGAACAGG